CGGCCUUAGAGGAAGGAAGGCACUGACCCUCGGCUGAUAACUCUGGCUUCCCCCCCGGGUUUCUGUGGCGCUCCCACCAUGAUGCCUGGCCUUUCCAUUCAACAGUCACCAUCACUGCCCUCUUCAGAACCAAUUUCCGAAUGGAUUUCCCCUUUGACCUGCAGGAGCUCCCAGCCUUCGCCAUCAUCGGGAUUUGCUGUGGCUUCCUGGGAGCCGUAUUUGUGUACCUGCAUCGCCAAGUCAUGCUCGGUGUCCGAAAGAACAAGGCCCUCAGCCAAUUUCUGGCGAAGCACCGCCUGCUGUAUCCCGGAAUAGUCACCUUCAUCAUCGCCUCAUUCACCUUUCCGCCAGGAAUGGGUCAAUUC
rnacentral:lncRNA from 1 species